rnacentral:rRNA from 1 species
GACGAACGCUGGCGGCGUGCUUAACACAUGCAAGUCGAACGGAAAGGCCCUGCUUGCAGGGUACUCGAGUGGCGAACGGGUGAGUAACACGUGGGUGAUCUGCCCUGCACUUCGGGAUAAGCCUGGGAAACUGGGUCUAAUACCGGAUAGGAGCCAUUUUUAGUGUGAUGGUUGGAAAGUUUUUUUCGGUGUAGGAUGAGCUCGCGGCCUAUCAGCUUGUUGGUGGGGUAAUGGCCUACCAAGGCGGCGACGGGUAGCCGGCCUGAGAGGGUGGACGGCCACAUUGGGACUGAGAGACGGCCCAGACUCCUACGGGAGGCAGCAGUGGGGAAUAUUGCACAAUGGGCGCAAGCCUGAUGCAGCGACGCCGCGUGGGGGAUGACGGCCUUCGGGUUGUAAACUCCUUUCGCUAGGGACGAAGCUUUUUGUGACGGUACCUAGAUAAGAAGCACCGGCUAACUACGUG